CACUACCUACCGGGAGGCAGGCAGGUGGGGAAGUAAUUGCAUCAAUGGGCAGGCAAGCCUGAUGCAGCCAUGCCGCGUGUGUGAAGAAGGCCUUCGGGUUGUAAAGCACUUUCAGUCGUGAGGAAGGUAGUGUAGUUAAUAGCUGCAUUAUUUGACGUUAGCGACAGAAGAAGCACCGGCUAACUCCGUGCCAGCAGCCGCGGUAAUACGGAGGGUGCGAGCGUUAAUCGGAAUUACUGGGCGUAAAGCGCAUGCAGGUGGUUUGUUAAGUCAGAUGUGAAAGCCCGGGGCUCAACCUCGGAAUUGCAUUUGAAACUGGCAGACUAGAGUACUGUAGAGGGGGGUAGAAUUUCAGGUGUAGCGGUGAAAUGCGUAGAGAUCUGAAGGAAUACCGGUGGCGAAGGCGGCCCCCUGGACAGAUACUGACACUCAGAUGCGAAAGCGUGGGAGCAAACAGGA
rnacentral:rRNA from 1 species